AUUGAACGCUGGCGGCAUGCCUUACACAUGCAAGUCGAACGGUAACAGGUCUUCGGAUGCUGACGAGUGGCGAACGGGUGAGUAAUGCAUCGGAACGUGCCCGAUCGUGGGGGAUAACGAAGCGAAAGCUUUGCUAAUACCGCAUAAGAUCUACGGAUGAAAGCAGGGGACCGCAAGGCCUUGCGCGAACGGAGCGGCCGAUGGCAGAUUAGGUAGUUGGUGGGAUAAAAGCUUACCAAGCCGACGAUCUGUAGCUGGUCUGAGAGGACGACCAGCCACACUGGGACUGAGACACGGCCCAGACUCCUACGGGAGGCAGCAGUGGGGAAUUUUGGACAAUGGGCGAAAGCCUGAUCCAGCCAUGCCGCGUGCAGGAUGAAGGCCUUCGGGUUGUAAACUGCUUUUGUACGGAACGAAAAGACUCUUUCUAAUAAAGAGGGUCCAUGACGGUACCGUAAGAAUAAGCACCGGCUAACUCCGUGCCAGCAGCCGCCGUAACAC
rnacentral:rRNA from 1 species